CUUUUACCAUGAAGAGUUUGAUCCUGGCUCAGGAUGAACGCUAGCGACAGGCUUAACACAUGCAAGUCGAGGGGCAGCGGGGAGUAGCAAUACUUCGCCGGCGACCGGCG
rnacentral:rRNA from 1 species